rnacentral:rRNA from 1 species
AUACUAACCAGUGACCGAUAGUGAACCAGUACCGUGAGGGAAAGGUGAAAAGAACCCCGGGAGGGGAGUGAAAGAGAACCUGAAACCGUGUGCCUACAAGUAGUCAGAGCCCGUUAACGGGUAAUGGCGUGCCUUUUGUAGAAUGAACCGGCGAGUUGCGUUAGUCAGCAAGGUUAAGUCAGAAAAGACGGAGCCGUAGCGAAAGCGAGUCUGAAGAGGGCGAGCAGUUGGCUGACGCAGACCCGAAACCAAGUGACCUACCCAUGACCAGGUUGAAGGCGCGGUAAAACGCGCUGGAGGACCGAACCCACGUAAGUUGAAAAUUGCGGGGAUGAGUUGUGGGUAGCGGUGAAAUUCCAAACGAACUUGGAGAUAGCUGGUUCUCUCCGAAAUAGCUUUAGGGCUAGCCUCGCAAAGAGGAUGCUGGAGGUAGAGCUCUGUUUGGACUAGGGGCCCGUCAAGGGUUACUGAAUUCAGAUAAACUGCGAAUUCCAGACAUUUAUGUGCGGGAGUCAGACUGCGAGUGAUAAGAUCCGUAGUCGAAAGGGAAACAGCCCAGAUCACCAGUUAAGGUCCCAAAAUUCAUGCUAAGUGGAAAAGGAUGUGGAGUUGCGCAGACAACUAGGACGUUGGCUCAGAAGCAGCCAUCAUUCAAAGAGUGCGUAAUAGCUCACUAGUCGAGUGACGCCGCGCCGAAAAUUUACCGGGGCUAAGCAUGAUACCGAAACUGUGGAUGUGCGUUUAUGCACGUGGUAGGAGAGCGUUCUAGCGGCGGUGAAGCAUGACCGAGAGGACAUGUGGAGCUUCUAGAAGUGAGAAUGCCGGUAUGAGUAACGAAAGACAGGUGAGAAUCCUGUCCGCCGCAAGACUAAGGUUUCCUGGGGCAGGCUCGUCCGCCCAGGGUAAGUCGGGACCUAAGGCGAGGCCGAGAGGCGUAGUCGAUGGACAACAGGUUGAAAUUCCUGUACUGCACCGAAUCGUUAUGAGCGAUGGAGGGACGCAGGAGGCUAGCAGCGCGUGGUGCUGGAUACCACGUUCAAGCGUCAAGUCUGAGAG